UAGUAUACUCCCUACGUCCCACAAAACUUGUUAAGUGUGGUGGGUGAAAAAAUAAAAAGAUAAAUGAAGGAAAAAAUAAACUUGUUAUAUAAGGAAAGUGCGCAAGUUUCGCGGGAUAACUCAAAAAAAAAAAAUACUACUCGAGCUUCGCGGGACGGAGGGAGUAUUAUUCUUACAAUUGUAGUAACUUCUUUAUAUUUUAUAUUUUUUUUAUUUCUAUUUUCACUAAUUUUUGAUGAAUUUUUUUCAUAUUAACCUUAGUUGAAUAUAAUUUCAUAUUUGAUGAUGCUCUCUCAAACUCUAGACGAGAUGAUGCUCUUUCAAGUUUCAGACAAGAUAAUGCCCAAAAGUUAGAGGUGAUAUGCUAAGUUUUAGACGAGAUGAUGCACACGACUUGGUUGGUCUUUAAAACUCCAAAUGAUAUGAUAUUCGAUAACUCAGUUAUGGUCUUUUAAGCAUCAGGCGAGAUGAUUGUCAUAAUUAAGUAUGCUCUUUCAAGUUCGAAAUUAUAUGAUACGCACGAUUCAAUUAUGAUCUUUCAAAUUCCAAAUAAAAUUAUGAUAAAAAAGCAAAUUAAAAAAAAUGAACAAAAUUAAUAAAUCUUGUAACACCAAAUGCAACAAAUCAAUCAUCCAUCGUACCUAUGUCAAAUUUGUAUUUUUUUCAACUUUUUUUUUAUACGUCAACUUUUUAUAAAAUUUCAUAUGAAAAUUUAUAGGAGUAUAAAAGAGUAUUUUUAUGAUCUCAACAAAAUUAAUAUUUAAUUGCUAAAAGUUGUUGAAAUUAAUAUAAUUAAAAUGUAUCACUAAUUUAAUUUAAUUAAUUAUAUAAAUAAUUUAUAUGAAUAAUAUUUGAUAUACCGUUUUCAUAAAAAUAACAUAAAAUAUAUAAAUUAUUGAGAAAGAUAAACUGCUACAUCAUUUUAGCUUGAGAGUUUUCCAUCUGGGCAUCCUUAUAAGCAAUAGUUAACAGGUGAUUGAAUAAUAAUCCAACCAUUAAAUUCUUUUAUGCCAAUUCUGAAUUCAUCACACUAUUUGAAGCCCAUUUAACUUUUUGCCAUAUUAUUUUUCUUUACAUGAAAGAUUCUGAAGCCCAAUUAAUUGAAACCUAGGUCUCAUUCAUUUUCUAUUUUUCACGCUAUCACCACUGCUCUCUCUCUCUCCCUCCCUCCCUCCUCUGCCCCACUAAACCCUACACCGCCGACUCCGGUGAGGCUCCUGCAAAAGUGAAAUGGCGUCGCGAGUGGCGAUUUCGAGGGCGAGUCGGAUCAAGACGAAGCUCGAAACGGCGCUGCAAGCCGCCGUUUUGGAGGUGGAGGACGUCUCCCACCAGCACGCCGGCCACGCCGCCGUCAAAGAAAUGGGAGGCGGCGCGCAGGAGACUCAUUUUAAUGUGCGAAUCGUCUCCGCCCAAUUCCAGGGCCAAAACCUAGUCAAACGACACCGUAUGGUUUACGAACUCCUCUCCGACGAGCUCCAAUCCGGUUUGCACGCGCUCUCCAUCACCGCCAAGACCCCUAAAGAAGCCGGCGUCGACGAUGAAGCGUAAUAAUCUGUUUCAAAUUCUAUUUCUACAUCUCAGAGAUUGAUAAUUCAGUUUAACAGAAGUGUGAUUUUUCCUCCUCUUUUGCAUACGAUUGGGAUUGUUGUGUAGAAAUGCCUAAUGAUUCAAUUGAUGUAUCAGCCCUCAAAAUCUCUGCUUCUAGAUGAAUUUGUGUGUUUGAGUAGCUGGAUUCGUAGAAAUUGUUGGAGCUUUACUCUUUUCUUGUUUCAUUUUUUAGAGGUUAGAUGUUGAAUGGUUUCUGGAUUUGGUUCAUUAUAUUCAAUUGUUGAUUUCUUUUCGCAA